GACGAACGCUGGCGGCGUGCUUAACACAUGCAAGUCGUACGGUAAGGCCCUUUCGGGGGUACACGAGUGGCGAACGGGGGAGUAACACGUGAGUAACCUGCCCACAACUUUGGGAUAACGCUAGGAAACUGGUGCUAAUACUGGAUAUGUGCUCCUGCUGCAUGGUGGGGGUUGGAAAGCUCCGGCGGUUGUGGAUGGACUCGCGGCCUAUCAGCUUGUUGGUGGGGUAGUGGCCUACCAAGGCGGCGGCGGGUAGCCGGCCUGAGGGGGUGACCGGCCACAUUGGGACUGAGAUACGGCCCAGACUCCUACGGGAGGGAGCAGUGGGGAAUAUUGCACAAUGGGCGCAAGCCUGAUGCAGCAACGCCGCGGGCGGGAUGACGGCCUUCGGGUUGUAAACCGCAUUCAGCAGGGACGAAGCUUCUUGUGACGGUACCUGCAGAAGAAGCACCGGCUAACUACGUG
rnacentral:rRNA from 1 species